GGGCGGUUAGCUCAGUUGGUAGAGCACGGCAUUCACAUUGCCGGGGUCACAGGUUCGAGCCCUGUACCGCCCA
rnacentral:tRNA from 1 species